rnacentral:lncRNA from 1 species
GCCGGCUGUGCAGCGAAGCGGCAAGACGUGAGCAGCCGACGAUCCUUUAAAGCGGACAAAGCGGUUGGAUGGGUAGGGAUUCCUCACAGCACGUUGCGUGCGGUGCGCGGGGAGCCGGGGAGCGAGGAGAUCGGGGGGAAACAGGAACCAAAAGUUCGAACCUGCAAAAAAGACCUGGAAAAGCCACGUAAGUGAACCAAGCACAGUAACCUAAAACAAAGUAUACAAACCUCUGACAAAACCUCAGAAAAACGUGGGGGCUAGCUGGCAAAAAGAGGGCGAGCCCCCUCUGCGCCGGCCCUAAAUAGGGCAGGCCACGGCCCCUCCAGCCAGCCGAGGGGGGGAAGACGCGCCGGGAUUCCCCUGUUCUCGCGGGGGCUGAAACCAGCCCCCGCUCACGUGGGGGUGGGCGUGAAGCCCACAACCCCACCUCCUGGGCAGGCCGGAAGUGGCUUUGUAUGAAAAAGAUGGGAAAAGUGAAACUGAUCACUAGUUUUCUGCAAAGCCCUUCUCCCUACAAUGCCCCAUUACUGGGCCAAAUGCCCAUAUUGUCUGGUGGCUGAGGAUGUCAGCCCAUCUUUAACCAGGCAACAAAGCAUUGUCAUUUAUAAGGGACGAGGCUUUCCUCCCUUUGUUUACCUCUGAUCGCAACAUAAGCAUGGGGAUAACUCUCAUUUUGAGAAGUGCUGCUUGACUCAUUCAGCAUUUGCAUAUGAACCGUCUCUGGCUACUCUCUGAAAGCUUCAGAGGCACUUCAGAUUCCAAAGUGAAAAUGUGGAAUAUGCGCCAGGAGGAGUGCGCUCAGCUCUUGCCUUUAUUCUGGCUAAGCUAAUCAGAGUGAUCUCUUGAACUUUGAGUGAAUGAGCACUUGAGUGAUAUGAUUGUCCCGAAUUGCUGUUUUUGCCUCAGAAAUAGUGAUAGCAGCUAAAGCAGCUGACUCUGCUGUUCUGUUUUGAACUGGGCCAUUUUAGGGACAAAUUGCACUUUGGACUGGUGGUUUGCACAUACAGUGCUACCUCGGGUUAAGAACUUAACUCGUUCUGGAGGUCCGUUCUUAACCUGAAACUGUUCUUAACCUGAAGCACCACUUUAGCUAAUGGGGCCUCCCACUGCCACUGCGCCACCGUUGCACAAUUUCUGUUCUCAUCCUGAAGCAAAGUUCUUAACCCGAGGUACUAUUUCUGGAUUAGCGGAGUCUGUAACCUGAAGCGUCUGUAACCCGAGAUACCACUGUAAUGCAAAGCCUUGGGCUAGCUUUGGCUUGCUUGAACAUGUGAACCCUGUGGCAAACUCCCUCCAUAAUGAUGAGAGGGACAUAACAAGACCAGGUUUGGUGUGCUUUAAAACUUAGACUGUCAGCAACACUUGAGAGGUCUGAGAUUCUCUGCAUGUGGUAGCAUUUACUAAUACCCCACAGCAAGAACUUUUAAUUAUGUGAAAGGAAAACCUGUGACCAUUUAUCCCGCAACCAGAAAGUUAAGGAUGUGGCAUCUGGAACCCAAAUAGGAAUUUUCUUUAUACACACUCAAGGAGGGUUGAAGCUUAAUGGUUAACUUUGAUAAGGCACAAUAUUUCAUUUCAGUCAAAAUCGCUUUACAGAAGGAAUUAAGAACUUUACUUACAACUUCCACUGCAAGCCUGUUUCUAGUUAAACCAAUUGGAUAGGAAAAGGCAUUUCUAUAAGAAUAGCAUCGUGUGAACAUUGCAAAAAACCAAAAUGAAACCUUGCUUCCACAAUCAGCAGUGAGCACACCACAAAUUGCUGUGUCUACAAGAGCCCUUUGUUUCUGAAAUCUGGUUUCAAUUAUUAUUUGAGCGAAUUGUUUGCUUUAGUAUUUGAUUCUUCCCGGAGUGCCUUGGCAAGUGAGUGUGUCCCACAUGUUCCACAAAAUGAAUGCCAUAAAUCAAUUGGCGGUGGCCAAUCUUUGCAGCGAAAUGUCCUUGCACAACCAGUUCAACUAGGAGAACAUUAUGUGAGCCCAGAUAGAAAACAAGCAGCCCACUGCCCUUUGCAGGAAUCGAAGUUCUGAAUAAGGGACCUGAAAACAAAUAGCAUUUUAAAAAAAAUUUGUCAAAAGAUGUCAUAGGAUACAAGGUGUGGGUAGAAAUCCCACCACUCCUGGUUUCUAUGGAGAGAUGCCUGCUUCUCUCUCUCCCUUUCUCUUCUGCUCACUGUUACGAGAGAGAGAGAGAGAGAGAGAGAGAGAGAGAGUACAGCAUCAUCUCAGUGUGACAAUUUUCUUCAUCAAAAGGGCUCAGAAAUAAUUUAGGGACUGCCUGCCUGCAGAUUCAAAUCCUUUGGAAGAGAGCGGUAUUAAAAAUGGAUGCAUCAGCCUUUGCUGCUUGGGGGUCUUAUAACAGUCCAGUCCCUGGUCUCUUUGAACUUGACAAAGAGCAAAUGAUAAAGAACAAAUACGUCACCAGACUGAAUCUGGAUUCCAAAAAGAAAAGCUUCAGACUUCUUGUAGAGUUUUUAAAAAAUUGACUUCACAGGAUUGAUCCCCAGACCUUUUGUCAAGAAAGGCUUUCAGAGCAGCUGACAAAAACCAGUUCUAAAACAGUUCCUGCCUCAGACUUGGCAUCUAAAAAGACAUGACAUGUGAGGAAAAAGCAAUGGGAGGGAGGAGGAGAAAGCAAGCUCGAGCACCAGGUUGUAAAAGUUACAGUUUGUAAAGUCACCAAUGAUGUCAGAGGUGCCUCUGGCUGCAUUUGGGAAAGCACAGUCCCUCCCCGAAGCAGCCCCACCCCAAAUGAUCAGAUCCAGGAGCAGAGCUGGUGACGACACCCAGACAGUUCUUCCAGACAGCUGACCUGAUGGCAGCUAGAACCACCAUAUUUUGUUAAUUUGUUAAUAACAUUUUGUUAAUGACAUCAGUCAAUUCCAACAAAACUUGUGGAGCGUUGCAUGCUUACAUCAGUCACCUAUCAGGAGAAAACUUAAACAGGGGCACUGCCAUAUAACUGAAUCAUUGAGAAUCAGAGAAUUGUAGAGUCAUCUAGUCCAACCUCCUGCAAUGCAGGAAUCGCAGCUAAAGAAUCCCUGGCAGCUUCAACUAUCUAUGACAUAGCCUCUCCGUGCCUGAGUGGCUGGUGGUCUAACAUUAGCACUACUUCUGUUUACAUAGCUGAGAAAGGGGGACCACACCUUGUUAUAAUGAUUGUGUUUCCUUUGGCCUCUAACAGCCCUGCUGUGUUGUGUUAAAUGCUCAGGAAAGAGCCAUGUCCCAAACAUUCCCUUGCCAUCCCAUCAGGGAGGAACCACUGGGUUUCCAAUUGUGGGAAUGUUCAGGGAGGCAGGAGAGGAUAUAUUGUUUAUUAAUAUGCUUCCUAACUUGCGCUAGCAAGUUCUAUAACUUAACAGAGUUUUACAUUUCCCUUUUAAACACACAGCAGAUAGCUGGUUGCAGGCUUGUUUAAGCCUCUCAAUAUUAGAUUCCUGGUAAGUUCCCUUAUGUUGUUGUUGUUUAGUCAUCUAGUCGUGUCCGACUCUUCGUGACCCCAUGGACCAGAGCACGCCAGGCACUCCUGUCUUCCACUGCCUCCCACAGCUUGGUCAAACUCAUGUUCGUAGCUUUGAGAACACUGUCCAAUCAUCUCUUAUAUAAGUUCCCUUAUAUCCCUCUUAAAAGAAUAAACACACCACAAUCUUGUGUAAAGUAUAUAAAAGAAGUUUACUCACAUAAUCAUUUCACAGUUGGAUCCCUGAAGGCAGACAGUUACAAAGUAUAUACAUGUGGAUCUAUCCCUUAUGGAGAUAGUCCCAGUAUCCUCUGUUGGCUGAGGGCCAACAGAGCAAUUCUAGCUGAAAGCUGCUCCAACGGCGGAGGAAGUAAAAGAGAGAGGGUGUGCUGCAUGCCUUGUCCUUUUGUUACCUGGACAGGUAAGGUCACGCCCACCUCUAGUCACAUGCAAAAAGGAAGUAUGCCCCCGCCAGGAGGAAACAGGAAGUUUUCGACUGGCUAGACCAAACAUUCCCUCGCAUGUCCACUCUAGGAAAACAAGGAAUGUUGUACUUGACUGCUACUUAUGUAUCACAUCCCACACCAAUGUCAGCUGGGUCCUUAUGCAUAAGGGGAGGGUUUAGAUCAGCAUCUAGCGGCAGAAGGGUUUGGGCUCAAUGGUUGACAGAUAAUAUCAAAAGACAGCAUCAAAAAUGCUUUGCCCAAACUCAGAAAGCUAGUCACAUUCCCACCGUAAAUGUAUGAGGGCCCCUCUCUUGCUGCAGCCCUGCCAGUGGUGGGAUGAAGUCACAGAGGUGAUGCGAGAGAGCUUGGCCAGGGUUUAGUUCCAGCAAAGCACAACCUUGAGCACUGCCUCCUGGCUGAAAUGUUCUUUAUCAGAGCCUUUACCCAUGUUUUAGCUCAGGCUUCUCCAUCUAUUGUUAUGCCUAGGUUGCCUUCCCAUGCUUGACGCACCCAAUCUGCAUUCCACAUCUCGCUGUCAAUCAGCAGUUGAUAAAUGAAAGAAGCAGAACCCUUCAAGGGUAAAGCAGAUGGGAUACUGCAAUGUUCUUGCUGGAGCUCAGAUUAGUCCCUUCCGUGUAUAAACCUUUAAGAAACAUCCUAAUCUGUGACAGCUGAAACCAGGAGUGUUUAGCACCCUGGAGCAUGCUGCAAAAGAUGUCGGCAGCUAGAAUCCUCUGAGGGACAAGCUACCCAUUUCCUACCAAUGCUGGAAUAGCUCAGUAGAUGGAGCAGGAGACUCUUAAUAAAGCUUAGUAAAGCUACAGGGAACCAGGCAGAGGGCCUUUUCGGUCGUGGCGCCUGCCCUGUGGAACACCCUCCCACCAGAUGUCAAAGAGAACAACAACUACCAGACUUUUAGAAGACAUCUGAAGGCAGCCCUGUUUAGGGAAGCUUUUAAUGUUUGAUGCAUUACUGUAUUUUAAUAUUUUGUUGGAAGCCACCCAGAGUGGCUGGGGAAGCCCAGCCAGAUGGGCGGGGUAUAAAAAAUAAAUUAUUAUUAUUAUUAUUAUUAUUAUUAUUAUUAUUAAUUGCAGGGUUGUAGGUUUGAGCCCCGCAUUGGGUAAAAGUCCUGCAUGACUAGAUGACCCUUGUGCUCCCCUUCAAUUCUACAAUUCUAGGUUUCUAUGUAACUAAGCUCUGACAGAUGGGGGAGGGAUUCUUCUUGGGCGCUGAGAGAUGUUUGUUGGCUUACAUCUUAGCAUAAUUCUAUACAUUAAGUCAGGUGUAGGGAACCUUUGGCCCUCCAGAUGUUGCUGAAGCCUGACCACUUGUAGUCCAUGCACUGGUAAUCUUGACGCUAGAUUACUGCAAUGCACUGUAUGUGGGGCUACCCUUGAAUUUGGUUUGGAAGCUCCAGCUGGUACAGAAUGCUGAUGGGGCCAACAACAUGUGACACCAUUGUUAAAACAGCUGCCCUGGCUGCCCAUCUACCGUCAAGCCAAGUUCAAGGUUAUCAUAGAAUUGUAGAGUUGGAAGGGACCUCAUUGGUCAUCUAGUCCAAUGCAGGAAUCUCAGCUAAAGCAUCCAUGACAGAUGGCCUUCCAACCUCUGCUUAAAAACCUCCAAGGAAGGAGGAAGACCAUUCCACUGUUAAACAGCUCCUAUGAGCAGAAUCCCCCCCACCCGAGGUUUAGUUGGUAUCUCCUUUCUUGUAACUUGAAGGCAUUGGUUCAAGUCCGACCCUCCAGAGCAGGAGAAAACAAGCUCGUUCCCUCUUCCAUGUGGCAAAUACCUUGAGAUAUUUGAAGGUGGCUAUCAUAUCUCCUCUCAGUCUCCUCUUUUCCAGGCUAAUCAGGUUCUUGUUUUAAUUUGCAGAGCCCUGAACACCUCUGGGCCAGGGCACCCCAGGAACCACCUGAACCUUUACAAUCGCAGCUCAAUCAUCUGCAGGAGCAUCUCUGAUCGUUUCCCAAGUUGGUGAGACUCGUUUAACAACAACUAGAAACCAAGCCUUGAGAGUUAUCAGUCCGGUGGAACACUGCCAGUAGAGAUUCAGCAGGUACCUUCUGUGCCAGCUUUUAGCACCUGCUGAAAACCUUUUUUUCUAUUCUGUCAGGCCUAUGCAGGUAAGUAAGAAUAUAUCCUUCCACAAUGGUUAAUUGGCGUCUGUUUUAAUUUUUUAAAAUAUGGUUUUUAUUUUAUGUUUUAUGUAUUAUUGCCGUAAACUGCUUUGAUAUUUUCUUCUUUUUAUGAUAUAGUGGUAUAUAAAUAUUUUAGUAAAUAAACUUCAGUUCCCAUCAUCCCUACCCAUUGGUCAUUCCUGCUGGGGCUGAUGGGAGUUGUAGUUCAGGAACAUCUGGCAGGCCAAAAGUUCCCCACACCUGCAUUAAGUGAUUAUACUAAGCAAAUAGGGAACCAGCAUUAAAUAAGGGACAUACAAAAUUACACGGUGCUGUGAUAGUUUCGAAAAAAGGUUCAGUUGGUGCAUUUCUGCUUGAAAAUGGGAGACAGCUCAUCCAUUGCAUUCAAUAUUCAUAUUGAUUUUCAGUUAUAUCUUUACUGCAUCUAUCAUUUCUUAGAUUGUAUUUUAUUGUAUUGCACGCUAGAUUUUAUGGAAUUCCGAUUGUCAUGCAAUAAAAUACAACCUAGCACAGUGGCGCUACAAACAUAGAUAAACGCUUAUUACGCCUUAUCCGUGGUCUAUACGAAAACACCAGGGUGAGGGUAAGAUGCGAUCGGUCAGGCCAUCUAACUAAAGAAAUUCAAACGCACUAUGGGGUUAAACAAGGAUGUGUCCUCGCGCCAACGCUAUUUAAUUUCUAUAUCAACUCUCUAGCAGUAAAUAUGGCGAAAGAAAAUGCCCACCCUCCCAAACUGGCAGGUAUUCCCAUCCCGGUGCUUCUGUAUGCGGACGACGCAGUCCUACUCUCCUUUUCCUGCAUUGGCCUGAGGAAGCUUUUGAGAUCACUUGCUGACUAUUGUCAAGCGGAACAACUAUCAAUAAAUUACAGCAAAUCUAAAAUUAUGGUGUUUUCAAAAAAAAGAAGGAAACACAAAUGGAGAAUUAAUGGUCAACCUAUUGACCAGGUAGCAACUUUCAAAUACCUGGGAAUAACUUUUCAGGAAAGGGUCUCGUGGCAUCAACAGUUGAAACACGCCAUUGCUAACGCAGGAAGGGCUAAUAAAGCCCUUACAAGAUUUUUCACGGGAAAGGGGGUAAAUACGUUCCGGCGGCCUCCCAGGUUUUUGCUGCAAAAAUACUCCCACAACUUACUUAUGGAUCCCAGGUUUGCAGUUUUAAAAAUUUUGCGCCUAUGGAGGCAUUUCAAACAAAAUUCUAUCGGUGUUUAUUGGGAUCCCCCCCUGUGUAUCUAAUAUAGCUGUCCGCUUAGAAGUUGGACAACCACCCGUUAAUGCGCGGCUGUGGAUUCUAAAGAUACACUACUGGUUAAAACUUAUUUUUCCCGGCCGGUUUGGCUCCUUUAACACUCUUAGACACCUUUCAUUCCACCUGGAAAGCUUCCUGUUUGAAAAGAUAAGAAGCUUGGGAUUCUCCCGCAGAUCUUGAUAGCGGCAGGAUAUGAGAGAGCCAGAAGUCAAGUGCUCCAACGCAUUAGGGACAUAGAGCUGCAAUGUCAUAUGGGCAAAAUGGAUAAACAUGCCAUAAUUAGAGACUUUGGGAGAGGGUUCUCACCCGCAAAUUAUUUGGCUGAUUUACAAAUACCUAAGUACAGACACUCCUUUACCCUGGCCAGAUUUAACGUUCUGCCCUCUGCCCUGCUGCUAGGCAGAUAUGAGGGCAAACCAUAUGAGUCACGUGUUUGCCCGUGUGGCUCAUCGGAAGUGGAAACAAGUCUGCAUGUAUUGCUGCACUGUAGUUACUAUGAGGAUCUACGCUUGACCUUUAUUGCCCCAGUUCUACAAAAGCUUAAAAUGAACCAGAACUCCAACGUAUGAGAGCCUUGGUAGAAGAUAAGGUUUCUGAAAUUACGAUCAAUGUGGCCAAAUUUUGUGUAGCCGCUAUUAGGCGCAGGAAACAAGAGCUUUCAAAUGUCAUUAUGCAGGCGAAGGCAAAUACUUAAUUUUUUAUUUAUGCUGUCUAAUUUUAAAUUGCAGUUAUGUAUUGAAAUUGUCCUUUGUUUUUUCCGGUGUUAUGCUUCGCUGACUAGCUGUACGAGUUAAUCUGGUCUGUGACCGUUUAAUAAAUUUGAUUUGAUUUGAACCUAGCACAGUGCGCUGCAAUAGCUACUGCAUUGCCGUGGUCUGCAGCAAUUUUCAACUAGCUUAUGGGAAACAUAGUCUGGGAAUCACUGGUUUAGAAUACAAGGACAUUCAUUUACUUGUGACUAGGGGUGGAAGAAGAAUCUAUCAAUUUCAGAUUUCUCAGUUUCUCGUUUUUCUAAUCUUAAAUUCCAUUCUCUACGUUUUGCAGCAAUUUUCCAUUUUGUUCUCUUAAAAAAUUCUCAUGAAAAUCCCUCAGCAUCUUAGUUUAAAUUUCUCUCAAUUAACACACGUUUAUAUGUAGUUUGACUAAUGUGCACAUUUCUGUUUCAAUGUACAAUUAAACAAUUGUACUGAACAAGUCCUGCAGAUGUUAUUUAUUUAUUACCUAUUCAUGUUUCCUCCAAGGAGGGUGGUGUACCUGAGUCUCUUUGUUUCAGUUUUAUUCUCACAACAAUCCUGUGAGGUAGGUUCAGCUGAGAAACUGUGACUUGACCACGGUCACCCAAUGAGUUUUGUGACUGAGGAGGAAUUUGAACCUUGCUCUUCCAGGCACUAACCCACCCCUCUAACCACUGCACCACACUAUCUCUCUCUGGCUUUUAACUGCUUUUAGCCAAUAUUUGUGCAUUGCAGAAUUGACACACACCCAAAGGCAUCUUGGACAACUUGGCCACAGCUGCCAUUUAAACAACAGCAGUCAAAGAUCCAGCGUCCUGCAGGCAGCAAUGGGUAUCUUUCCAGUAAAAGCUGAUUACUGGCUCCGCUCCUUGAUUUUGACAUUUAGAAACAAAAUGGUAUGUGGUCUUGCGGCACGACUGCUUGGGAAAGCUUAUGACUAAGCAGGAUUGUGCUAAUGAUGUUUGGUACUGAUGUGGAAGUGAAUAUAUCAUUAGCCCCAUGUGAGAGCUGUCGCUGAUGCUCUUAAGCAUCACUGCUUGGCAAUGGAAGGUGGUCCAUGAUGGCAGGGGUUUCCAGAUCUUGGUCCACAGACCACCAGUGGUCCACAAGCUUCUUUCAGGUCGUCUGCAGGAAGGUGGCACAGGUGAGGUGCAGGCUUUCCCAUCCAAUCUCUCUUUCUUCCCACCUGAUGCCCCCACCCCUCAGGCUGAUCUGUGCAGGGUGGAGUCUUCUGCUUACGUACGUGGUGCAGGCUGCUGCUGCUUUGCAAGCACCCUGCAGGAUCAAACCCUCCUGCUCUUGGUCAAGUGUCUCCUCCUUCCUCCUUCCCAAUCCUAAAUGUAAUCAGGGUUUAAUAACCCCAAUUAAAUAUGACGACAAGCCCCCCUGAUCUGGGCUGGAUCUGGGGCAGGUGGUCCCCAUGGCAGUAUGGGGUGGGGCAGCGCAAUCUGGUGGCCUCAGAUUGGGGUCCUGGGGAAGAGCUAAAACAUAUAGAGGCAGUGGACAGGGAAAAGUUUCCCUUUCUCUCUCAUGACAGAAUUGCGGGUCCCACAGUGAAUGGGGAUCAGGACAGACGGAAGUACUUUCCCACACAGGGCACCGGUAAACUGUGGAACUCAUUGCCACAAGAUAGUGUUGGCCACCCAUUUGGGGUUAGAGCCAGAGGUGAGGAACCUGUGGCUCUCUGCUCUUAGACACCAACUCUCAUCUACUCCAAGUAGCACGGCUAAUAUAUAGUUCAACAGCAUCCAGAGGGUCAAAACAUCUUGGCUUUUUCUUUAAAGCAGGCUCUUCCUGGUGCCAGUUGUUUUAUGGAGUAUUAAUGGUACAACUGUAGAAAAGGUUUUACUGCAUUCAAUACUGUGAUCUUUGGGGUUAUAUUUUAUCUUAUUGGAUUCUACUUCAGUUGUUUUUGGUUGUGAAGGGAUUUAUAAACCCACAGACAAACAAACAAUUUUAAAUACCCUUUUGGCACAAGGCUAAAACUGUCCUGCGCUCUCAUGCCUGUGAUGGCAAAUGCUAGGGAAUGGCUUAUUUAUUUUCUAACUGCUGUGACUGCUGCUGCUUUGCAUAUUUGAGGUUUGCAGGCUGCAUAUCAUCUCCAUUCCUCCCAUUUAUUAAAAUGUAUCCCUGGCCACUCUCCAAUCACAUUGUCAGCAUGGCUUGCAAUAAAAUAUUUAAAGUGCAAUAAAAGAACCAAGAGGUAAAAAAUAAGCUGAGAAACAGAGAAUCUACCAAAGUGGCUGGGGAAAACAGCAUGUGAACUAGAAUAUAACAGAUCAACAAAAGGUCAAAAGCCUAUGAGAACAAGAAGGUGUUUAGCUGUAUCCUGUCAAAUCCCCCCUUUAAAGCAAUUAAAGUGAGUGACCAUCACUACAUCAGAGUGGACACCCAGGUGAUCCUAUUGAGUCAGAGUGCUCCAGAGCUGAGGCCCUUUCCCUUGAAAAGGUCCUUUCUCUGGUGGACAUCUAUCAUAUCUCAGAUGGUGCAGACAGCCAGAGAACAUCACCUAGUGUUGAUCUUAGAAGCUGAGCCCUUCAAGUAUAUUUUCCCCAAGCUAUGAAGUUUUUCAAAGAGGGGUAGGGAACCUGUAGCUCAUCAGCUGUUUUUGGGAUAUGGUACCCACUAUGGUUUCCCCAGUAGUGAUGUAUGGAAGUGAGAGCUGGACCAUAAAGAAGGCUGAUCGCCAAAGAAUUGAUGCUUUUGAACUGUGGUGCUGGAGGAGACUCUUGAGAGUCCCAUGGACUGCAAGAAGGUCAAACCUAUUCAUUCUUAAGGAAAUCAGCCCUGAGGUCUCACUGGAAGGACAGAUCCUGAAGCUGAGACUCCAAUAAUUUGGCCACCUCAUGAGAAGAGAAGACUCCCUGGAAAUGACCUUGAUGUUGGGAAAGAUGGAGGGCACAAGGUGAAGGGGAGGACAGAGGACAAGAUGGUUGGACAGUGUUAUCGAAGCUACCAGCAUGAGUUUGACCAAACUGCGGGAGGCCAUGGAAGAUAGGAGUGCCUGGCGUUCUCUGGUCCAUGGAGUCACAAAGAGUCAGACAUGACUAAACGACUAAACAACAACAACCCACCGCCCCUGAUUACUGGUUAGAGCCACAGGGGAACUGAAGGUGCUGAGCUGCUCUGCUAGCAAAUACAUAUGGUUAGAUAAGUGCAGGUGUUGCUCAUCUUUGACCCUCCAUAAGAACAUCCAAAAAGCUUGCUGCAUCAGGUCAAUGGCCCAUCGAGUCCACAUCCUGUUCUCACAACAGCCAAGCAGAAUCCUGUGGGAAACCCACAAGCGGAGCCGGUGCACAAGACCACUCCUGUGGUUUGCAGCAGUUGGUAUUCAGAAGGAUUACUGCCUCUAUGUGAAUGCACAGCAUAGCCAUCACAGAUAGUAGCCAUAGAUAGCCCCUUCUUUCUUGAAUGUGGCUGAACUACAACUCCCAGCAUUCCUGGCCAUUGGCCAUUGCUGCUGGGGCAGAUGGGAGUUGUAGUUCAGCAAACCGAUCAAAUGGAUUCAGUUAUGGCUAUUGGGUAAUCUAGCCCUUUUUCAUUGUUGAAUCUGCCUAACUGUACUGGUUGGGGCUGAUGGACUCUCCAGCAACUGCAUUGCAGGGGGUUGGACUAGAUGACCCUCGGGGUCCCUUCCAACUCUACGAUUCUAUGAAUUUCUGGAGGGCAUUAGCUUCCCUACCCUGGCUUUAAAUACCAAGACUAGCACUUUCAGUUGGACCUGGAAGCAGGUCAGGCUCCAUUGGCAAAGCACCAACAUAAUAUAGCCAUAAUGCCCAGUCCCAGUUAGCAAUUUAGCAGCUGAAUUCGGAACUAAUUGCUGUUUCUGAGCAGCCUUCAGAGGCAGCCUCCCACACGGCACAUUACAUUGCAUUGUUUACGACGAAGAGUAAGCCAUCUGGAAAGCAAUGUUUGCUCAUCCACUUGUUUAAUUAAUACAUCGCAAUAAGUCUCCCGUUCCAUCCAGAAGGAGACACCCCCCCUCACCCCCUGCAGGGUUAGUCAAUGUGGUGCCCUCCAAAUGGACCCCAACUCCCAUCAGCCCCAGACAAGCCAAGGAUCGUCAAUGGGCUGGGCUAGAACCUUUCUCCCUGCUUAGGGGUGGAGGAGAGAUUCAAUUCAGUUUAAAUCUACCUAAUUCCUGCUUCCUGAAGCAAUAUGCAGACAAAAAUGCAGCCACCUUCUAAGCAUGCUUUUUUGGGAGAAUCUAACUUCAUAAUAAGUGCUCAGUGGAGAGUGUGUUGCAUUUUAUCAGUACAGCGGUACCUCGGGUUACAUUACCUUUGGGUAACGUAAUUUUGGGUUGCGAACGUAGCAAACCUGGAAGUAUACACCAUUCGCCAUGCGCAGAAGCGCUCUAUCAUGCUAUGCACAUGCGCAGAAGCAGCACCUCUGGAUACAGACUUUUUGGGGUAAGUACAGACCCCGGGACAAAUUUAAUUCGUAUCCGGAGGGCCCACUGUAAUAUAUAUUGCACCCUGUUAGGAUUCCUGCUCCGUGUUUGCAGUCAUGAGAUUGUUGCCUAUCACAUGAUGGUGUAUGCUUUCAUUCCACAGUGUGGGAAGUGACGGAGACAGGAUGUUUUGUACUACUGUGUUCUGGAAUGUGGGACUAUUGUCCUUUGUUCUUUCUCUCUUUGCAGUCUGAUGAGAAAGAGGAAGGAGCUAAUUCAGAAUGCUCCGAGUGUAUUAUUGUGUAAAUAAAGUAGAUUAGCCAAGAUGCUGAGCUAUUGAGUCUGUAACGUGAACCACCAAUACUCUGCAGGUUCCUAAGUGUGCUGAUGCUUUUUGGUAUCAGUCGCUGUGAUGUUCGGGCAGAAGAAACCUUUUGAAGCUCCCGAACAACCAACCAGGAGGGAGAGAACAUGCCAGUCGGGCAUGUGUCUCUACCAGGGUCCUACAUGAGAGUAGGACGAUCCUAACACACCCAAACCCAAUCUUUGAGUACCAAGAGACAUGGGGCUCCUGUGCUUACCCAGUAUCAGGAGUGGGUAUCAGGAGCAGGUCAGCAGUAGAUCAUACAGUGUCCGUGAAGUUAACUCUUUAUUCAAGGAAACAAGGUCGACUCAGAAGGCCAUGCCUAGUGAGCACAGCAACUCGUCCCGGUAGAUCUCGCCCCGUGCGGCAGUUGUGGGGAUUGAAGUUCCCCACCUUGCCACAGUUGCCUAAGUCUCCUCCUCCCCAGAUUCCCCAAGGAAUGUGAGAUUCUGUUGUUGUGCCUAUGUUUGCUCCUCCCUCUUCAUACCUCUCCUGGUUCUGGGAGAACAGGGAGGAGGGGAGCUGGUUGCAGCAGGAUAGGGACAGUGGCGUCGCAAGGGGGGUGGGGGCGGUGUGCCCCAGGUGCCAUGUCUGGGGUGUGUGACAAGAAGUCACCCCGCAGGGUGCUCACUCUGCUGCCCCCGGGCGCUGUGUCACGAGCAGCCAUCACACCGCCGCACCCACAUGUGGAGAAUCCUUCAUUCACGGCUGCAGACACGAGCAGAGGAUCCCACCACCGUCCGUAUGGCGUUUGAGCAGUGCUGGAGGGAAACCGCUACAUACAAUGCAUAUGCGGUGUCACAUGCAUGCGUUGUAUGUAGCAAUGCUGCACAUGCGCCCUACGGAGUGAUGUCACUCAUGCGUCAUACGUAGUGACGCCAUGCACGCAUCAUACGUAGCGGUGCAAUGUGUGCACAGCUGGCAGUUUGCCCUGCCCCGGCUAUCAGUUAGCCUUCAUUUGCCCCUGGAUAGGGAGACCCGCUGGCUUCUUCACCAGCCUGCCUCAUCUCUGCCUCUUGGCCCCCCUCCUCUCCAGCCUCUGCUUCCGCCUCUGUUUCCAGACUGCUGUCUGCCACAGACUCUUCCUGCUCACUAAACCCUGUUAUCUCUUCAGCUUCUGACAGCUCCCCGCCCCCCCCGUCUUCUCCCUCUGACCAUUCAUUGUCGCCCCAUCGCCAAUCCCCUGGCUCUGAGCCUUCUUCCCUUGGGGGUUCCCCAGCUGGUGCCUCCCACCAUUCCUCUGCAUCUAGCCAGUCCAUGACACCCAUGGUUUGGUUACUUUGGAAUGAAGGCCAGUGGAGACUGCAGUGUCUUUAGGAUAUAUGGCUUUUGUUGACACAUUUAUAGUAGGAUGAAGGGGCCCAAAGCAUUAACACUCCAUCAGCUCAGUUGCCAGGGCAGCCCCAAAUCCCAGUGCUGCGCAGGGCUAAACGUGCCUCUGCCCCAGCCUCUCUCAGCUUUUUCUCCAGCUUCCAUCUCAUUCACCAGCAACUCCACAGGCCCCUUUUUGUUAUUCGUCACUUGGAUGAAGCUAAUUGCAACUCAUCUCAUCCCUUUGAAGUGAAGCAGAGCGUGUAUUUAUAUUCGGUUGUAUUGAUCCUCGCCUAGUAGAGAAAAAUCAACAUUUCUCUCCUAACAAUGACAUAUUUGCAUUAUAGUUGGGGAAAUUGCCCUGCAAAAAUGUGCGUAUUACUCCAAAUGGCAUACAAAUUAUAGAUAAGGUGCGAAGGUCCUGUCCCAAGUGGUGUCUCAACAUACCUCAGAAGGCCAGCACACACAAAGAAAGUCUUAAAAGGAAGAUAUUAAAUACCAGGAUUUUUUUUCAGCUGGAACUUGACGGAACUCAGUUCCGGCACCUCCCAGGUGGGUGUCAUUGCUAUUAUAAGAGAACAAGGAUGGUGUUCAUAGUGAGGUCUGGCACCUCUUUUUCUAAAAAAGCAGCACUGUGUGAUACUAAUCUCCUGGUUAACUCUAUUACAGGGAUAGAAACCUUGGGCCUUCCAGAUUUUGUGGUUCAACACCAAUUCCCACCAUCCCUCCCCCUUGGCCACAAUGGCUCGGGCUGAUGGGAGUUGUAGUCCAACACAAGUUUCACGUCUGUACUCUUUUGAUAACUACAGGUACAUUUUCAGGAAUUCACCAUACAUUAAAGAGCCAGUUAAGACUGUUGGACUAUGUUUAAAAGUACCUUCCCCCAAAAUCCAGAGUCCUUUUUGUUGGGGAUAAUUCAGAUGGAAAUUCCCAGGUGUCAAAAAAGGUUGUUUAUGUAUGCCACUACUGCGGCCCGUGUGUUUUUGGCCCCAAAAUGGAAAAUGAGCGAGGUCCCAACUAAAGAAGAAUUGCAACUUAAGCUGAUGGAAUAUGCACAGCUUGCAGACUUAACAUACAGAAGAAGAGAACAAGAAGAACAUACAUACAUUUAAAGAAGAUUGGAAAAAUGUUUACUGAAUAUAUGGAGGGAAAUUGUGUACACUUGAAAAUGCUGGCAGCAUUAAGAUAAAUUCAACAGUGUAAAUAAGUUUUGAUGGAUGUGAUAGUGGAAUACUGAAUGGUUUAGUUUAUGUAAAAUAUGCAGAGAUCUAUGGUAUGCAAGGGACUUGCCGAUCAGAAGGUCAGCAGUUCGAAUCCCCACGACGGAGUGAGCUCCUGUUGCUCGGUCCCUGCUCCUGCCAACCUAGCAGUUCAAAAGCACGUCAAAGUGCAGGUAGAUGAAUAGGUACCGCUCCGGUGGGAAGGUAAAUGGUGUUUCCGCGCACUGCUCUGGUUCGCCAGAAGCGGCUUAGUCAUGCUGGCCACAUGACCUGGAAGCUGUACGCCGGCUCCCUCGGCCAGUAAAGUGAGAUGAGCGCCGCAACCCCAGAAUCAGUCACAACUGGACCUAAUGGUCAGGGGUACCUUUACCUUUUUAUGGUAUGCAAAAUGAACCAUGGAAAGAGAAGAAGGAAAGUCACUGAUAGUGUAAGGAUGUUUAAAUGAGUAUUUAAAAUUGUAAAACAGAAAAUCAAAUAAAAAUUAUAUACAGUGGUACCUCGAGUUACAAAUGCUUCAGGUUACAAACUCCGCUAACCUGGAAGAGUUACUUCGAGUUGGGAACUUUGCCCCAGGAUGAGAACGGAAAUCAUGUGCCGGAGGCGCAGCGGCAGCAAGAGGCCCCAUUAGCGAAAGCAUGCCUCUAAUUAAGAACAGUUUCAGGUUAAGAAUGGACCUCCGGAACGAAUAAUAGUAAUAAUAGUAGUAGUAGUAGUAGUAAUAAUAAUAAUAAUAAUAAUUUAUUUGUACCCCACCCAUCUGGUUGGGUUUCCCCAGCCACUCUGGGCGGCUUCCAACAAAGAUUAAAAAUACACAAUUGAGUUUGUAACUGGAGGUACCACUGAAUAUAAUAAAAGACUGUUGGACUAUGAGCUGGGAGACCAGGGUUCCAAUCCCCACUCAGCCACUAAGUUCACCUUGGGCCACUCACAGUCUCUCAGCGUAACCAACCUCUCUUCUACCCCAGAUAAAAUGGGGAGGGGAGAACCAUGUACACUACCUUAAGUUCCUUGGGGGUGGGGAGGUUGUAUAUAAACUGUAAUAAAUAAAUAAAAUUUCCUUCCCCUCCACUUUAAAUCUUUAUUCUGUUCAAUUAAUUUCAUUUUUUAAAACGUUAGUUAAAAAAUAUUUUUAAAACUUUUUUUUAAAAAAAUCAGCAAGUAUGACUGCUUAUGUUUCACCCUUGUUUCAAACUUGAAUAACUCAGGCAGUCUUGGUUUACAGCAGAUUUAUAGGUCUUUAAUGGUCUGUUUUUCCUCUUAUUCAAGGCAAUGGUCAAUUUCCAUUUACACAGGAUGCAGUCUCAGCUUCCUAGGGAGAAGAUAAUUAGAUCUGAUAGUGCUGAAAACCAUCUUCAAAUGGUUUUCCUGAUCCUUGCUUGGUAGAAGGGGGGUGGGGGGGCGGGAAACACUCCAACAUUUAUUUCUCUUCUAAAGCAAAAUAGCCACACUGACUGAGGAUCUGGGUCAAGAACAAUGCAACUUGCACACUUAAUACUUUUUUUUUGGGGGGGGGGGGGUUGGGUUUGUUUAUUUUUUGCUUCCUCUUGUCACUUACAAUUCUUUUUUUUUAAUAUAUAUUUUAUUAAGGAUUUUCUUGUUUUACAGAAGUGUAGUGCCUCGUGUAUUUUUUUUCAUGUAACAUUUUUACAAAUCCGUUUCAUUUGUUGAGGCAUUAGGGGGAGAAGGAAAAAAAAGAAAGAAAAAAGAAAGGGGGGUGGAGAGAGGGAAGAUGGAUGGGGGUGGGGUCGGGUAGCGGUGUUUCUAUUAUGUUUAAUGUAUGUAGAGUUUGGUGUCAGCGUUGCUUGUGUUGUUCACUUGUGUUCCUUUGGUGGUGAGAGAGGUUGGGGUUGGGCUAGGUGUGAUUGUUUGCUUGUGAUUGGCUGUGGUGAUCUUUGGAGAGGCCUGUCAGGAGUAAGCAUGGACCAAUGGUACCAAACAGUAUGGGAAACAGCCCUACUAGAAAAAUUAACUAAUAAACUGAAACUGACACGGGGACAAACAGAAGAAGACGCCUUCACCCCGGUAUGGCUCCCCUUUAUCACAUACACAGCCCAACAGGACAAUGACAAUAAUCCACCAACAGCAUACAAAUCAAUAUGGCUAACACUUAAUACUUUUUGGUUACUCUGCAAGCUCAGUCACUUGAGUCUCACGGCAUCAAAGUGGAUUUAUUAAAUUGGCUCAAAGUCAGGAGUUAGUUCUCCUUUUUUUGCUAUUGGGUUUUCUUUUCCUUCAUUUCUCCCUCUCUUUUUUUGCAAAGCUGGGCAUUUAAGCCAAGCCCGCCGGGUUAAAGUUGCUGUGGGCACAAAACCUUUAAACCUCUGAUGCAUUAAAUUAGUAGAGUUUGCAAUUAACUGGAUGUAAUUAGAUUGGGGGUGGGUGGGGGAAAUUCUUAGGAGAACAAAAAGACGAAACAAAACUGAUGUAGCCACCACAGCUGAAUUUCAAGACUUACAGUAUAUACACCCCAACCUGCAUAAAGCUUACACCAGGGGUCAGCAAACGUUUUCAGCAGGGGGCCGGUCCACUAUUCCUCAGACCUUGUGGGGGGCCGGACUAUAUUUUUUUUGGGGGGAAUGAACGAAUUCCUAUGCCCCACAAAUAAUCCAGAGAUGCAUUUUAAAUAAAAGGCCACAUUCUACUCAUGUAAAAACAUGCUGAUUCCCGGACCGUCUGCAGGCCGGAUUGAGAAGGCGAUUGGGCUGCAUCCGGCCCACAGACCUUAGGUUGCCUACCCCUGGCUUACACCCUCUUGCUUUGAGGCAUGGGAAACUUGGGUAGCAGGUCCAAAAAGGAAUUUCCUCUUUCUGGAUGGAAGAAGGAAGGGAAUGCCUGGCUUGCAUUAUUAUCAUGCUCAUUCUUUUCUCAUGCAACACAAUGCCUUUGUUGCUUGUUGGGAGCUGCUGGAUCUAUGUGACUCUCUCCCAUCUGGUGAACCACUGAACUGUAGGUAGCAGUGUUUGGAUGCAGCCCCUCCAGGUCCUGGACCAAAUGCCCACCCAGAACUGGCCAUUGGACUAUGUGAAGAACCAGGGCUGGCCCUGCCAUGAGACAGAGUGUGGCUGCUGCCUCAGGCGGUAGAUUCUGAGGGACGAGGAGUGCUUUUCAUCUGGUAAGCAGAGUCUUUUGUCCUGCAGGAUGAAGGUUGCUGCUACUUUACAGAGAAGCCUUUCACAAAGGAGCAGCACACCACCGGAUAAUAAUAAUAAUAAUAAUAAUAAUAAUAAUAAUAAUUUAUGCCCCACCCAUCUGGCUGCUCUCAGGGGGCAGAGAAAGGAGAUAAUCUGUUUUAUUAGGGAUUAAAAACCCUAAUUAAACAUUAUCCCCCAUCCCUUGUAUUGUUCUGGGGCCAGAUCUGGGACAGAGGAGUUGGUCCCUGGGUUGGCCUAAUCUGCCCCCCACUCACCUGGACUGGGGCCCUGACACAAGGGGUCUGUACAUCAGGGCUUGUCUUACCUGUGCUUUGAACUGGGGCUGAGGCAAACCAGCUUGCAUGCCAACAUUCCUCAACCCUGAGCCUUCCAGUUGUUUUGGACUCAAAACUCAGCAUGGCUCAACAUUCAGGAAUGGAUGAUGAGAGGUUGCAGUCCAAUGGUGGGGGGCAGCAGAUUGGGAGAGGCUAUUUUUGAUUCUAAAACACGGAUACUGCAUCUCCCAAGGGGACUGAAUUUAUGGUCUCUGCUCCUCUUGAGCUUUGAUUGCAUGUCUCCACGUUGGUCCGGUUCCCAUUUGCUUGGAGAUUAGGCGAAACGGUAGCAGCAUUUAAUAGAGUCUUGUUUCUGUGUUCUAUUCCAGCACUCCUGAUUCCCACUAAUGAGCAUUAAUAAGCAUGCAAAGGCCCUUUGCGUUUGCGGAAUGACUAAUACGUCUUCUUUGAAGAGCUCAUUAGAGUCCAGAUGAACAUUUGGGCUGAGGUCAGACACAAUGCCUGAUGGUGGUGUUCAGCUGAACAAAUUGGAACACUUUGUAGGAGGGGAGUCUGUCUUUGUCUCCAGUGAGCUGUGUCCUUUCACUGAAGAUUCACUGAGGGUUCACUGAAGGUUUAUGGGGGAGAUGCACACUGGAGCCAGUUUGCAAUUGCAGCACACACAUCAUCUGGAGAACCAGAUUUCUGGGCUAAUGCCCCAUCUCACAACCCAAAACCCCAUAUUGUGCAAUGGAAAUGCAAAUCAGGUGUAUUUGCAUUCAGAAUUUGCAUCAUUCAUUUGUCACAACUGGUUGAGGAAUUUUAUUUUAUUUUAUAUUAAAAAAAAAUCCAGAUGAGUCAUCUGUGGGAUAAACAGCUUCAGAUUAUCAACAUGCAAAAGUUUAAUUAGUGUUUGAAGGGGUUAAUACCAUAGAGUAAAAUGUCCUGCCAGGCUUAGCUAUGUCUAUGGGAGUAGAUUUGUCCUCCCUACUUUACCUUCCUUGGUCAGGGCGGAUCUUGCUUUCAUAAAACACAGCUGCAGAGGCACAUUGUUGGAUCAGUGCCAUGGAUUUUGAUAGGGGCCUUCCCGUUAUUUACAUACUUCUGUACAUUAGCAGGGGGAACCUUGGCUAUCCUGGCUCAGGCUGAUGAGACUCUAGCGACAUCUGGAGGGCUGGAAGGUGUUGUUGUUGUUUAGUCGUUUAGUCGUGUCCGACUCUUCGUGACCCCAUGGACCAGAGCACGCCAGGCUGGAAGGUAGUUCCCCUUUUUACAGAGGAAAGCAGCUUCACAGUGAGGUUGCUGCUCUGAUAUUAUUCUUUGCAGGGUACACUGACAAAUAUUCCAAAAUUCCAAGGACUCUUCUGCUUCUUGGCCUUCAAGUUCUGAAUCAAUGAUGUGGGAUAUAAAUAUACAUUUGUACUUUGGAUGUCAAGUGUUUAACUCUCCUCCCUCCCCCAGAGUGCUUUAUGCUUUUGACAUCUUUGCAAACUUGUUGGCAGGCUUCAAAAAGAAAUCUCAUAAGCUGUCAGCCAUCAAAUACUAAUUUGUUUUUGCAUUUUUAUUUGUCAAAUUCUGCCAGAUCCUCCCCCCACCCCCCAGUAACGGCUCUUGCAGUGUGCAUUCCUAGAAGGAAGCUGAGCGUCUGUUGCAGAGUGCUGUUUAGGGACCAUAUCACACACCUGUUUUUUUGCAUGUCACACACCAGUGUUUCAAAAAAGGUCCAACCUCCUCUCCAGCCUCUGCUUCAGCAUCAGAGUUUGGACUGCUCUCUGUCACAGACUCUCCCUGCUCACGAAACCCUGUUACCUCCUCUGCUUCUGACACCUCCUCCUCCCAGUCUGCUCCUCCAUCUCCCUCUGACCACUCAUCUUCAUCCCACCACCAGUCCCCUGGCUCUGAGCCUUUUCCCCCUGGGGGUUCCCCAGCUGGUGCCCCCUCUCUUCUGCAUCCAGCCAGUCCAUGACAACUGGGAAUUCCCUCCACACCAUGAAAAAUUCUAUACACCCCUAUUAUGCCCCGCCUUAUUCACCUUUCCCAGUUUCAUAAAGAAGCCUCAAUUAUUGCCAAUGUUGGGGACAUAGGUAUCUGCCUUGCCCCAAGUCUAGAGUGCAAAUUUGUGAUAAUAACAUACCAAAUGCAGCACAUUAGGGGAAACUGCUUUGCAAAAAUGUGGAUAUCAGGCAAAAUUGCAUUAAAAAAUGUGUAUGUUUGGAGAAAUCCACACUAAAAUGCUGAUGGAUUUUAUUUAUGUUCAUUAUUCUUAUUCUUAUUCUUAUUCUUAUUCUUAUUCUUGCUUUAUAAUUACAUCAUCACCAUGAUCACAAACUGGUGUGGAAAUGUGGCGAAUUGAACUUAAGAAUACAAGGAAAACAAAAGCUAACACAUUCACCCAUUCUUGCUCCAGCCCCUUGAUAAAUUUGGUUGCCUUUUACUCGGUUGCUCUCUUCCUUCCUGCCUCCUGCUUUUUCCUUGAGGGAGUCUUAUAACACACCUGAAUUAUAGCAGCUUUAGAACCCAGAAUAGGAAUUGCCUGUUCAUUAUUAAUCUUUUGGCUUGCUCUGCAUGAGAGGGUUUGCAUGUAGGGUUUGUAUCAUCCUCAUCUAUGCUAAGGUGUACUCAGCUGCUCGAAUCAAUUGCCAGAAGCAGGGACCACCAAUCACUAUUAUUUUUGUUUUCAGUGAUAGUGAUGGUUCCUCUGUGUGUGUGUAAGGGGGGAGGGAGAGAAAGAGAGAGUAUUGUAGUGACAAAAUGCAGCAUCCUAACCAGCCAUUUGUAACCUUUACAAUGCAAUAUUCACUACAGUCAGACUUAAUUAAAAAAACCUGUGGAACGCUUCCUUGUGGGUCCUUCCUUGUUCGUACUAACAGCUGUUUAGGAGGCUCCCUAUCAGCCUGGGAGCAAAAUGAGGCAACUGCAAAAUAAGAUAGUAUUACUGAAAUUUCAGGAAGCUCCCCUAGAUAUACAGAAGGAUAUAAGUUUGUAAAUUUGAAGACAUUAAAACAAAACAAAACACAAGCACAUCACCCUGACAAAGACCUGUGAGCUUCCAGGAUGUACAGAAUGUUAAGGGGUCAGUUGGAGGGGAGAGGAAAUAGGACAGUUGGGGUGGGGGGUGGGGACAUACAAUGAUGCUAAAUGUGGGAAGGUUCAGAAACAGUAUAAGAAAAUCAGCACAUUGUUAAACAACAGAACUCACCCGCAGUGAUGGCCACCAACUUGGAUGGCUUUAAAAGAGGAGUGACAAAUUCACAGAGGAGGAGGCAAUCAAUGGCUACUAGCCAUAUGGGGUAAGCUCUGCCUCCACAGUCAGAGGCAGUAAUGCUUCUGAACACCAUUUGCUGGAAACUGCAGGAGGAGAGAUGGUUCUGGUGCCUGAGUUCUGUUUGGGGGUUUCCCACAGGCUGGCCACUGUAAGAACAAGAUGCUGGACUCAGUGGGCCAUUGUCCUGAUUCAGCAGGUUCUGUUAGAAUUCCUGUUCCAUGAUUGCAGUCAUGGGAUUGUUGUCUAUCACAUGACGAUAUAUGUUUUGACUCCACAGAGUGGGAAGUGACGCAAACAGGAUGUUUGUGUUACUGUGUUCCGUGAAGUGGGACUAUUGUCCUUUGUUCUUUUUCUCUUUGCUGUCUGAUGCUAGAGAGAGAGGGAGCCAUGUUGCAGUGCUCCGUGUGUGUUUAUAUGUAAAUAAAGUAGAUUAGCCAAUAUGCUGAGUUGCUGAGGUCUGUCACGCAAGUUGCGCAAAAUCUGCGGAUCCCUAAGUGUGCUGGUGUCGGUUGGCAUUGGUCUCUGUGAUGUUCGGGCUGAAGAAAGCUUAUGAAGCUCCUGAAUGAUCAACCAGGAGGGAGAGAACAUGCCAGUCGGGCAUGUGUCUCUGCCAGGGUCCUUCUCAAGUGUAGGCUGAACUCCUGACAGGUUCUUCUUAUGUUCUUAAUAGGGAAUUGGCCUGCUCAAGUGCCGAGUAAUUUAGAGCAGUGAUGGGGAAUCUGUAACCCUCCAGAGGUUGCCGGACUACAACACCCACAUCCAUGAGCAUUGGCCAUGCUGGCUAGCCUGAUAGGAGUUGUAGUCCAACAACCUCUGAAGGGCCACAGGCUCCCCAUCCCUGACACAAGCCUUUGGUUUGAUUCCACAGAGUUUGAUUCUUUUAAGUCCUCUCUGUAUUUUGGAAAGUUGUGUUCUUGGCUGGACAGUUCUUGAGAUUGAGGAGCAGAGUGUUUUUUGUUUGGGGAGGGCUAUGUUUGAAUACCAUUGGACACCAUUUUAAAUCAAGAUGGCGGAUGAAAGCUUUCCAAACUGCACUGGUGUCAACAGCUCCUAAGAGAGUGUAACCCAAUUUAUCAUGAUGGCUCUUGAGAUCAAGGAGCAGGUUUUGAUUGCUGUUUGGGCAUGAUGGGAUACCAUCUUGAAUCAAGAUGGAGGAUGGCACUGGUCCCCUCCCCCCAACUUCUUGGAAUUCUCAAGUGAUGCUGGGUACAUAGCUGUCAACUUUUCCCUUUUCUUGCAAGGAAUACUAUUCGGAAUAAGGGAAUUUCCCUUAAAAAAACGGGAAACGUUGACAGCUGAGGCUGGGUGUGAGGCUGCUGGUAUAUAGUCAAAAGGGCAUCUGGGGCCACAAGGCAUUUUGUCUGUAGAUGUGACUGUAGUGAAAAGCUCCAAUACCUCCUCCCCACACAUUUGGGACUGGUAGGGCAGAAGGCAGGAAGCCUAACAGCAGGUGGCACUAGAGGCAAUGACAGGCAGGGUCAAAUAAUUCUAGUUUCCCCCCCAUCCCUCUCCCCUGAGGGAGAUAAUGAGGCAACAAUGAGCCUAAGGAGGAAGAAACUGCGAGGCAAACUCCCCCCCAAGGCAGGUGGGGGCUCACUGAGAACAGACUGAAGUUGGUGAGGGAGUGCCCCAUUUUGCCCUAAUGGAUCAGUCACCAAUGCUUUCCUGCCCAACCCCAUAAAAGGAAAAAGGCUAUUGAAUUGAUAUUUAUGCAGACCCAGAGAACAUCAAGAGCUGAUGGCAAAGAUUGAACGACGAAGAUGAUCUGUAUCACUGAAACAUCAAGGGAUGAACUUGCUCUGUUCUAUGGGUACUUUUUUAAAAUGAAGCAGAACAUAGAGGUAAACGCAGCGCACAAAGUUCUUAAAAAUGAUGAUUGUGAACUGAUAGCAGUGCAGAGAUGAUGCAGAAGAAAGUGGGGGGGGGGUGGAGAGAGGGGGAGAAGACAAAGCUGUUUAUGGAAACUCAUUCACCCAGGCAAUGGAUUGGAGAGACCACGUCUCUCCCUUUAAAAUAAUAGCAAUCUAUCCUCCGGCAAAGAUUUUGCAAAUAGAAGAUCUUGAUAAAACAUGAAAGUGGCUAAUAGUUCCAGAUGUGACUGGAAAUUUAAAUUAUUCUUUGGAGGGGCGGGGAUGAGUCACUGUGGAGCUGUUUGAAAGGAUAAAUCGGCAAGGGUUGCUUAUCCUGAAGCAAGCGAGUUGCCAUUAAAUAUCAGGGACCUGUUUGAUCGCUGAGCAAAGCAUCUAAUUGCAGACAUGCUACAACUGAAGGCUACCUCUUAAUUUCCUUUUAAAUUUUCAGGAUUGCUGUUGCAGGUGCCUGUUGGAGAAAUAUUGCAAAUGAUUGUAUUCUCAGUUUGGUUCUCACUUCCUUUUGCAUUGCGCUUUCAGUUAAAUAUAGCAGCCCUUUCCCAUAUCUGAAGCUACAUUUCUUCAUACAGACAAGAAGGGCGCUGACUUUGGACCUAGUCAUACUUUUGUUCCAAUAAUAGCCCCAUGUCUGCCUUGAUUUGGGAAGUGCUGCUACUAAACUAUCCUUAGGUAACAUAGGAAUCUGCAUCAUACCAAGUUGGGCCAUUGGUUCAGUUAGCUCAUGUAGUGGAUUUAGGGGUUGCUCAUGCGUAAGUUGCCGCCACUCCUGGCUAGGUUACCUGGUUAAACCCUUUCUGACUGAACAGCCUCUAGCAUCGUGACUGUCUCAGUCGCUGGCAGAAUCCGUCAGUGGGCGUUUCUUAAACUUCUUCCUGCACAAAAGUUCUUUGACGCCUAGUCUCCACCUAGACUCCCUGCGCGGAAGUCUUCUGCGCAGGGAGGGUGUGGGCAGCGGAGGACCCGUACUCUCUCCGCUGGUCUCCGGCGAGGAGUCUUGGAGCCUCCUCUCCGAUUCCCCCAUUUGCCCCCCUUCUUUACUGGUGUUACGCUGAUUUCCUUCCCCAGCGGACGGGCUGCCUCUCUCUCUACUGGGACCCUCUCCAGCAUCGCUCUGGAGCCUUCCCUCCGCCUCUAGCUCCGAUGGCAGUUCCCUGACAGCUCAGUACAUGUAUUAGGUACACUGACUGGCUGUGGCUCUCUAAGGCUUCAGACAGAGGACAUUCCCAGUCCUACCUGGAGAUGUUCUGCCACUGAGCUGUGGCCCUGCACCACAUAAUUGCUCAUGUAAAUGUUUUUCCCCAUGUAGAGUAUGGGAUGAACUUAGGGAAACGUCAUCAGGUUGGGAAAAGCUGAUUAGAGUAGGACUGAGAAGUUUUAGGACAGAGAAAAGAAAGUAUUUCCUAAGAGAAACUUUUGUCCAAACUGUAUAAUUUGUUAUUAAAGUGGGAAACAAAAGACGAGCUUAUUAAAGCCUCAAUGACACACUGGGCAAUAGAUAUAGGUCACAAUAUAAAUUUUAACCUCUGGAAAAAAUGAUUUGAAGUUCACAGCAUGUUAUCCUUUGAAGGAGAACUACUUGAAAAUUAUUUACAGAUGGUAUUUAACUCAAAGUAGGCUUGCUAAGGGGACACGGGUGGCACUGUGGGUUAAACCACAGAGCCUAGGAUUUGCCGAUCAGAAGGUUGGCGGUUCGAAUCCCAGUGAUGGGGUGAGCUCCCGUUGCUCGGUCCCAGCUCCUGCCAACCUAGCAGUUUGAAAGCACGUCAAAGUGCAAGUAGAUAAAUAGGUACCGCUCUGGCGGGAAGGUAAACGGCGUUUCCGUGCGCUGCUCUGAUUCGCCAGAAGCGGCUUAGUCAUGCUGGCCACAUGACCCAGAAGCUGUGCGCCGGCUCCCUCGGCCAAUAAAGCGAGAUGAGCGCCGCAACCCUAGAGUCAGUCAUGAUUGGACCUAAUGAUCAGGGGUUCCUUUACAUUUACCUUUACCUUUAGGCUUGCUAAGAUGUAUAAGACUGAAUCAGAUAAGUGCUGGAGGUGCAAAGAGGUUGAGGGAAUGUUCUUUCAUAUGUGGUGGACUUGUAAAAGGGUAAAAGAGUAUUGGGAAAUGAUCCAUAAUGAAUUGGGAAAUAAUAUUCAAAAGCACUUUCCCCCAAAAUCCAGAGUUUUUUCUGUUGGGGAUACCAGUAAUUCAGACUGAAAUUCCCAGGUGUCAAAAAAGGUUAUUUAUGUAUGCCACUACUGCAGCCUCUGUUUUUUUGGCCCCAAAAUGGAAAACGAGCGAGGUCCCAACUAAAGAAGAAUGGCAACUUAAGCUGACAGAAUAUGCGCAGCUUGCAGCCUUAACAUAUAGAAUAAGAGAACAGGAAGGGCAUACGUUUAGAGAUUAUUGGAAAACAUUUAUUGAAUACAUGGGAAAUAACUGUGUACAGCUGAAAACGCUGGCAGCAUCAAGAUAAAUUCAACAAUGUAAAUAAGUUUUGAUGGAUGUAAUAAUGGAAUGCUGAAUGGUAUAGUUUUUGUAAAAUACGCAGGGAUUUACGAUAUGCAAAAUGAACAAUGGAAAGAGAAGAAGGGAAGCCAUUGAUACCUUAAGGAUGUAAAAAUGAGUGCUUUAAAUUGUAAAACAGAAAAUUUAAUAAAAAUUACAUAUAAAGAAAAGAAAAGAAAGCAUUUCUUCACGCAGCACACAGUUAAAACUAUGGAAUUCAUUCACACCAGAGGUAGUGAUGACCUGUGAUGUUUUGAAAGAGGACUAGAAAAAUUCAUGGAGGGUAAGGCUAUUACUAAUGACAACUGGAAACUAGGACUAUGGGAACUGCAAAUGGGGCUUGCUGGCUUCCCUGGGCAUCUGGUUGGCUACUAUGAGAUCAGGGUGCUGGGCUACAGUAGAUGGGUCUUUGGCCUUAUUCAGCAGGGCUGAUCUUGUGUUGGGAUGACAAGUCCCAUGAGGCUCAGCCAGAAUGGGCAGUGGUCGAGGAUGAUGGGAGUUGUAGUCCCGCACCAUCAAAGGCCACACGCUCACCACUAGAGUAAUUUGUGUCCUGGCACAGAUAGCUAUGGGGUGAAAGCUGCUACGCAAGGGGCAGGAGCACAGCAUGGAUCUGAGAAACUGCUCAGCACCUACAUCUCUAAGGAUCCCUCCUUGGAGGAUAUAUAUGCAUAAAUUCGUAGUGAGCAGCUGAGGUUUUCCGCCCACCAGCAGUUUCAGCGGAGCAGAGGUGAUGCGUGCAGCGCUGACUUGCAUUGAUUAUUGGAGGGAAGAAGGAAGGGAGCAGAUUGUGUGUUCUGAGUGUUGCGAGACCUGCUUCGGAGAGCUGCCGAGACAUGCCUCAUUUGCUGAGAUUGUACAAAAACACCAGAAUGCAAUCACAGCUAAGAUCUCCCCCGGCACAGGUACUGAUCGCAGGAGGGAUAUUAAACGGAGAGCAUGAUUGCAAGUCACCUCACACAGGCAACCUGUUUCGACUGUCAGCAAUGCUGUUGAGCAUCCUUGGACCAAGUUUGAGGUGGCUUGUUUGAGUUCCCUCUCUGCUGCUGCAGUUGAAGCCCAGGCCUCCCUCACCACACCAGAAACAGAGAAAGACCAGUGGGGAACCUGGAAUAGAAAGGUCGCAUCACCUCCUCACCUCCUCUCAGGGGUGUUCCUCAUCAAUGUACCUGCUGGCCAUGGCUUCCUCCAGGAUAUUAAUUACACAAAUUCACUCCUUUUCGUUUUGGUGCUUUUUAAAAUUAACAUCAAAACAAAAACGCAAAUAAAGUUACAAAACAUAGGAGUGGUUCAGAGGUUGAAUCGUGCAGAUAAAUAGAGAGCAAAUCACAUAGAAAAAGCAAAGCAGAAAAAUACAUCAUGAAAGCCAAAUUUUGCAAUGUGUUGAAGAGAGCUUUGUACAGUAUAUCUGAAUUUGACACAUAAGAAAUGAAAUCCAACCAAAAGGCACAGGAGUGUUCCGUGUCUUCCUUACAUUGAGAAAUGCAAAGUUUGCAAGUCCCCCCCCCCCCAAAAUAGCCAGAGUCCACAUAUUCCUUGUCUGCAACGAGAAGUUUAAGUCCUGUAGCGUCUUGCAUUUGGGGGCCAAUGCAGCCAGCACAAGAAGUUCCUUAAAGUGGAAAGUUGCUAUUUGCUCACCCCACAAGUUCAAAGGGUCUCAAGUUUUCAUUUACAGCAGACGCUCAACAUUCCACUGGUGACCCCUAAGCAUGCCCAGUCCUUCUUCAUCCUUGGAUUUAUUUAUUUUUAAGUGUUUGUAUUUCUGCAAAAGGGACGCGAGUGGCGCUGUGGGUUAAACCACAGAGCCUAGGACUUGCCGAUCAGAAGGUCGGCAGUUUGAAUCCCCGCGACGGGGUGAGCUCCCGUUGCUCGGUCCCUGCUCCUGCCAACCUAGCAGUUCGAAAGCAUGUCAAAGUGCAAGUAGAUAAAUAGGUAUCGCUCCAGCGGGAAGGUACUGUAUUUUUCACCCCAUAAGACACACCGCCCUAUAGGACGCACCUAGUUUUUUUUUGGGGGGGGGGGGAAAUAAAGAAAAAAAAUUUCCCCCCCAGGCACGGGGCUGGCGCGGGGGAAGCCCGAGCUUCCCCUGACCCCAGCCCCCAGAACAGCCUGCUAUCCGCAAGCCUAGGGAGCCGCUCCGGUCUCCCCAGGCUUGCGGAGAGCUGCGCGAAGCCCGGGCGUGCUUAAGACCGCGCCCGAGGCUUCAGAAUGCAGGCAGCUCUGCGCAACCUUUGGGAGCCCGGCGCGGCUUCCCGCCGGGCUCCCGAGGGUUGUGCAGAGCUUCCUGUGAAAGCCUGUAUUCACCCCAUAGGACACACACACAUUUCCCCUUCAUUUUUGGAGGGGAAAAAGUGCGUCCUAUAGGGCGAAAAAUACGGUAAAUGGCAUUUCCGUGUGCUGCUCUGGUUCGCCAGAAGCGGCUUAGUCAUGCUGGCCACAUGACCUGGAAGCUGUACGCUGGCUCCCUCAGCCAAUAAAGCGAGAUGAGCGCUGCAACCCCAGAGUCGGCCAUGGCUGGACCUAAUGGUCAAAGGUCCCUUUACCUUCACCUUUAUUUCUGCAAAGCUGAGUCCCCUCCCCCCAGCAUGCUGAUACCCUCUGCUGUGAUACCAUAUCUUUUGACGCAGAGGUACUGUGGCAUCUUCCCUGACAGUACAGCCCCUUGACUAUCGAAGAAAAUCACAGAAAUGCAAGAAGAGAGUUGCUGGAGGAGGAGGAGGAGGAUUUUCCUUAUUAAAUCAAGUGCUGUUCACAACUGUUGUAAUAAAUGUUAGCUACUGCCAAGUGCUAGGUCGGUCAAAGGCCAAUGUAGACAGUAUAAGGAAAUUAUCCUUAUACUGCACCCAGCAUUCCUGUACAGAAGCUGACGAGACUGGCAGCUGAAUCUUAUUUCAAUACAGGUAAUGGCAUAACGUUCUCCUCAGCACCUGAUGGUGGCAGGCUAGUUAUGAGGGGUGCGGGUGGCACUGUGGUCUAAACAACUGAACCUCUUGGGUUUGCUGAUCAGAAGGUUGGCGGUUCGAAUCCCAGUGACAAGGUGAGCUCCCGUUGCUCUGUCCCAGCUCCUGCCAACCUAGCACUUUGAAAGCAUGCCAGUGCAAGUAGAUAAAUAGGUACCACUGCGACAGGAAGGUAAACGGCGUUUCUGUGCACUCUGGUUUCCGUCACGGUGUUCCGUUGUGCCAGAAGCGGUUUAGUCAUGCUGACCACAUGACCUGGAAAGCGGUCUGUGGACAAACGCCAGCUCCCUUGACCUGAAAGCGAGAUGAGCGCUGCAACCCCAUAUUCAUCUUUGACUGGACUUAACCCUCCAGGGGUCCUUUACCUUUUUUUAUGAGGGUGUGGGACAGGUAACAUAAAACUAGGGAUCCCAUCUCAUAUUGUGUUGUGCCACUCUGAAGAUCCUGAGAUCCAAUGUGGUGUAGUGGUUAGAGAGUUGGACUAGGACCAGAGAGACCAGGGUUCAAAUCUCCACUCAGACUUGAAGCUCCCUGGGUGAUUUUGCGAAGUCACUGGCACUCUACCUGAUGGUUGUUGCGAGGAUAAAACAUGGGGAAAGAGAACCAGGAAUGCCACCUUGAAGGAAAGGGAUAUAAAUUGUUGCUGGCAUCAGUCUGUCUCAAGAGAAAAUGGAAGAACGUGCCAUUGCAGGUGAAGUCAAACUGUUGGAAUGGCUGUAGAGAAUGAUACAGGAGAGACAUGUUUUAAGGCAGCCGGGGCAGAUGAAGGCAUCUGGUGAUACUGAUGCAGGUGUACGAUGAUGUUUCUUCUCUCGGUGCUCCUCCUGAUGGUCAUUCCUCCUCUGGUCACUGCUGUAGUCUGUCUCCCUCCAGAUAUAAAUUAAUAAUAAACAGGGCAAACACAGAGGAGCAUGUGCUGCUUUGGGCAAUGUAAACCCCUUCUUUUAAAUUGCAAAUAAGCUGCCUAAUACAUUUAAGGGAAGAGGUAGUCCCUUCUCCUCUUAUAAGGGCUGAGUCCUCUCAGCCCCCUAGGGCUGCAUGGAGCCCAGGACCUUGGUUUGCUUGUCCAACCCCAGUGGUACUCAUUUGUAUGCCUCCUAGACAUCAGGCAAGUGCUGAAUAGUUUUAGGCACCCAUUGAAGACUUAUUUCUUUCUUCAGGCAUUUGCUACCAUUAUUCCCUUGCUUUGAAUAUUGGUAUUAUCCACUGUGGACAUUGAGCAUUUUCUGGUUUGAUUGUACUGAUUCUUAGGGACAUUACUUUACAUUGCCUUGGGAUUUCUAAUGCACAAUGGGAUACAAAUGUUCAAACAUUGUUCUUUGGUUUGGGAACCUGGGAAAAAUAGAAAAGCUGGUUGCAAAGUCCUUUGAUAAAUGUUCCCAUCUCCACCCACACUUGACUCAGAAAUAAAUGUCAUGGCUCUCUCCCUUGGAGUAGCUGGCAAAAGCCAAAACUCUGAGGGCAUUGACUGUGUGUUUUCUUUUCCACUGUGGGCUUCCCAUGGGCAUCCCAUUGACUGAUGUGAGAAUAGGACACUGGACUUUGGUCAAAUCCAGCAGGACUCUCCUUAUGUUCUUAAUAAGGCUGUGCUAACUUCCUUUCUCAAGGAUGAAUAAUUGUUCUCUCUGCUGUGUGUCAUGUUUUCCAUCAAGAGUUUGGGACACACUUCACAUUUUUUCCCAUUCUGCAGGUGUCAGCGGUUCAGGUUUCUCCUGGUCAGAGAGCAGAAUUCAUUUCCAAAGAGUCACAGUUGAUGGUUUCUGCUGCUCUCAGAGGUCUUAUCACUGAUCCAAAAAAGUCUAGAUUCAUUUAUGAAGCACAUCCAUUAUCCUUUUAAGAGAACAUGAAUCUUUUCUUUCCUGGUCCAGAAGCCACUGUGACUCAAAUUCUAUUUACUCAUAUUCACCGGUUACCUGAAUGUUAUCAAAGGAUGAAUAUGCCAGUUUUGUUUUUUCCCUCAUUUCUCACAGAAUCGGAGAAUUGGAAGAUACUGAAGGGGUCAUCUAGUCCAACCCCCUGCAAUGCAGGAAUCAUGGAAGAAGAAGAAGAAGAAGAAGAAGAAGAAGAUUUUGGACUUGAUAUCCCACCUUUCACUCCCCUUAAGGAGUCUCAAAGUGGCUAACAAUCGCCUUUCCCUUCCUCCCCCACAACAAACACUUUCAUAACACCUCUGCUGUCUUGCCUAUGAGAGUAGCCUGCUUUACUCUCUCUUGUGAAUAAGGCAGAAUCUUUGCCUCUGAGUUGCUCAUAUAGAAGAGAACAUUAAACUCUUGGACUCAAGUAUUAAUGAGUACCUAAUAAGGUGUGCAGUGACCCCAGGAUUUACCUUGUGCCUAUAUCUUUGCUUAUUUUUUUUAAAAAAAAUGAAUCUGUUUUUGAGUCACCCUGUGCUUUGAUCGGUGAUUAGUGAUCUGCAUAAAAUGGAACCUUAAAAAGAAUGGUUGUAACUAUUUUUAAGCUUUUGGCAGAAGCAGAUAAAAUUUGCAGGCACAGCAGCAGUGAUGUCAACUUGCUUAAUCAAUCAUAAGGCACGGCACACAGCAUUUGAAUGGCAAUGCCCAUCACUUUUUGGGGAGGCAACCCCCUCAAAUAUUUUAUUGGGAGGGGCAAAGGGACCUUGGCCCCUCAGAGUUGGCUCCUAUGCACCAGAGUGGAUUAAUUGGAGAUCCAGGGGUUUUUUGGGGGGUGGGGAGUGAAAUGGAUUCACAUUCCUCCAUAAUCUGCAUUAGGGCAAUACAUUUAUUAGGCUAACUAAAAUGCCAAAAUCCAUAAUAGUUGCAUAUUUUCAAGUGGGAGUUGUUGUUUUCUUGGUCUUUCUGACUUCAAAAUAAUUAACAAGUGGCCUUGGAAAGUGGCCUUGAUGGAUGGAUGGAUGGAUACCUACUUGCCAUGACUGUCUUUUUGUUGUUGUUAUUGUACUGUUAGGGAAUGCAGGUGGUGGUGGGGACAAACAAAAAGCUUACAUAUUAAAGGAAACGUUU